UUGAACGCUGGCGGCAGGCCUAACACAUGCAAGUCGAAUGGUAACAGGAAACAGCUUGCUGUUUCGCUGACGAGUGGCGGACGGGUGAGUAAUGUCUGGGAAACUGCCUGAUGGAGGGGGAUAACUACUGGAAACGGUAGCUAAUACCGCAUAACGUCGCAAGACCAAAGAGGGGGGCCUUCGGGCCUCUUGCCAUCAGAUGUGCCCAGAUGGGAUUAGCUAGUAGGUGGGGUAACGGCUCACCUAGGCGACGAUCCCUAGCUGGUCUGAGAGGAUGACCAGCCACACUGGAACUGAGACACGGUCCAGACUCCUACGGGAGGCAGCAGUGGGGAAUAUUGCACAAUGGGCGCAAGCCUGAUGCAGCCAUGCCGCGUGUAUGAAGAAGGCCUUCGGGUUGUAAAGUACUUUCAGCGGGGAGGAAGGGAGUAAAGUUAAUACCUUUGCUCAUUGACGUUACCCGCAGAAGAAGCACCGGCUAACUCCGUG
rnacentral:rRNA from 1 species